ACAAGCCUGAGAAACGGCUAGUAGGACUAAGGUCUGCAGCAGGCGCGAAACUUACACAAUGCUAGAUUUCAAUUAGCGAUGUAGUGAAGAAAAAUAACGAUGUACUUGUAUUUAAACAUACUUGUACAAUUGGAAUGAGACGACUCUAAACCAGUCAGUCGAGUAACAAAUGGAGGGCAAGUCUGGUGCCAGCAGCCGCGGUAAUUCCAGCUCCAUUAGCAUACAUUAAAGUUGUUGCGGUUAAAAAGCUCGUAGUUGAAUUUUGGACGGGCUCUUGUAGGAUGCGACCAUUCAAGGCGUACUUGUAUACAUGCUAUUGGCUAAUACCUUUACAUGUUGCAAUGCGCUGGUUGUAGUUCCCACAUGGAACCCGUUGUUUCGUCACUUAAUCGAGUGCGAAGCGGGCUGGUGUAGCACGUGGUUAGUCGCAAGAUUACACCACAUACAACAGCAUGUUUACCUUGAGAAAAUUAGAGUGCUCAGAGCAGGCAGUUGGGAUGUAAAAGUCUCUUUAUGCUUGAAUAAUGUUGCAUGGAAUAAUAGAAUACGGCCUCGGUUCUAUUCUGUUGGUCUUAUAGAACAACAAAUAAGUUGGUUUGGGCGUCAAACGGCCCGCUUGGAGUGUGGUAGUUUUGUGUUUUUGUUGUCUGGGGCCUAAAAAUCUCAGUGCCUCAAUGCUUAAUUGCCAUCUAAGCAUUCCUUGCUACGGUCAGCCUUCAAUCAACUGAGGCAAUGGUUAAAAGAAAUAGUCGCGGCGGCAUCAGUACUGCAUCGUGAGAG
rnacentral:rRNA from 1 species